rnacentral:snRNA from 1 species
AUUCCGUCCAAGGCUAAAUACGG